CAGUAGCCGCGGGAAAACGGAGGGUCCGAGCGUUAAUCGGAAUUACUGGGCGUAAAGCGUGCGCAGGCGGUUUGUUAAGCGAGAUGUGAAAGCCCUGGGCUCAACCUAGGAAUAGCAUUUCGAACUGGCGAACUAGAGUCUUGUAGAGGGGGGUAGAAUUCCAGGUGUAGCGGUGAAAUGCGUAGAGAUCUGGAGGAAUACCGGUGGCGAAGGCGGCCCCCUGGACAAAGACUGACGCUCAUGCACGAAAGCGUGGGGAGCAAACAGGAUUAGAGACCCCUGUAGUCCCUGUCUCUUAUAC
rnacentral:rRNA from 1 species